AUUUUGGAGUACCUAUAUAUUUGAGUGGUGACAAAAGCCACCCACUGCCAGUCACAUUACUUAAUUGGCUAACUUUAUUAAAGGGAACUAUUUAACUUAAUACUUAAAAGAGUUUUUUUGUGAUUAGAAUUUUCUUCAUGAAAUUGUUACUAGUUCUGUUAUUGCAGUAUUUUUUGUCUAUAUGACAAAUCUGACAAACAGGUAUAUUAAGACAUAUAUUUUAUUCAUAUUUCCAAAUAACUGAACAAAAUCAUUUUCUAAAAGAUACUGAUCUUUGAAAUAUUUCUGACUGUGAAUUUCUUCUCUGCGCUAGCUCUUUCUUGUAUAAUGCUGGAG
rnacentral:lncRNA from 1 species